CAACUGGUCCCCCCCGGAGCGACAACUGGUACCAGGGUGGGCCAGAUAUGUCGAAUACCCACCCUCAUCAUCAUAGUGGAAACCUUUACCCACUUCUUACACCUAUUUCAGGUAUCUCUUUGUCGGUGUUGACCGAUCAUUACCAUAGAGACGAUCGUGACCCAGUUGCAUGCCAUUAGCAUUAAAACUAUACAAGGUGCACGACAGGUUUGGCCAGCUUUACAAUAGGGCAGCCGAACAGUAAAGGAUGAAACCCGACGUAACUGGCUAAAAGACCUACAUUAGAGUAGCCAAGCAGCGAGUGACGGAACCGAACAUAACCAGCUAAAUCAUUGACGAAAAUACCCAAGGAUAUUACUCAGAUUCAAAGUGUUAAACUUUAGAGCAGUAGGCACAUGCUUGGCUAUCAACAGUUCGAGAACGUAUUUCAUGAUUUUUAUGCCGCAUACACUUUCUUUCAAACCAUUGUUUUCUUUUGUUUUUAGCAUAAAUAAAAGUCCUAUAUUGUGAUGAAGUUUUAAGAGUAUACAUUGUAUAGAUUAUCCAACAUUUUUAUUGUGCUCUAUGUAUAAAGGUUUCUUGAAAGUCUGGAACAAUAGGAGUUACAUUCAUCUUUGCUUAUAUCUUUAUCUAUAAAGUGUGUCACUGAGUAAGAAGAAAGUCUUUAACAGAUUGCAUCCAAACUUCACACCAUUCAGGGCUGGUUGCAGCCUGAUUUAUUGAUUUCGAGUUCCAAAACAACAUUUUGUACAGUUAUCAGGAAGCAAACACAGUGAAAUACAAAUACAGU